rnacentral:rRNA from 1 species
GAUGAACGCUGGCGGCGUGCCUAAUACAUGCAAGUCGAGCGAACGGACGAGAAGCUUGCUUCUCUGAUGUUAGCGGCGGACGGGUGAGUAACACGUGGAUAACCUACCUAUAAGACUGGGAUAACUUCGGGAAACCGGAGCUAAUACCGGAUAAUAUUUUGAACCGCAUGGUUCAAAAGUGAAAGACGGUCUUGCUGUCACUUAUAGAUGGAUCCGCGCUGCAUUAGCUAGUUGGUAAGGUAACGGCUUACCAAGGCAACGAUGCAUAGCCGACCUGAGAGGGUGAUCGGCCACACUGGAACUGAGACACGGUCCAGACUCCUACGGGAGGCAGCAGUAGGGAAUCUUCCGCAAUGGGCGAAAGCCUGACGGAGCAACGCCGCGUGAGUGAUGAAGGUCUUCGGAUCGUAAAACUCUGUUAUUAGGGAAGAACAUAUGUGUAAGUAACUGUGCACAUCUUGACGGUACCUAGUCAGAAAGCCACGGCUAACUACGUGCCAGCAGCCGCGGUAAUACGUAGGUGGCAAGCGUUAUCCGGAAUUAUUGGGCGUAAAGCGCGCGUAGGCGGUUUUUUAAGUCUGAUGUGAAAGCCCACGGCUCAACCGUGGAGGGUCAUUGGAAACUGGAAAGCUUGAGUGCAGAAGAGGAAAGUGGAAUUCCAUGUGUAGCGGUGAAAUGCGCAGAGAUAUGGAGGAACACCAGUGGCGAAGGCGACUUUCUGGUCUGUAACUGACGCUGAUGUGCGAAAGCGUGGGGAUCAAACAGGAUUAGAUACCCUGGUAGUCCACGCCGUAAACGAUGAGUGCUAAGUGUUAGGGGGUUUCCGCCCCUUAGUGCUGCAGCUAACGCAUUAAGCACUCCGCCUGGGGAGUACGACCGCAAGGUUGAAACUCAAAGGAAUUGACGGGGACCCGCACAAGCGGUGGAGCAUGUGGUUUAAUUCGAAGCAACGCGAAGAACCUUACCAAAUCUUGACAUCCUUUGACAACUCUAGAGAUAGAGCCUUCCCCUUCGGGGGACAAAGUGACAGGUGGUGCAUGGUUGUCGUCAGCUCGUGUCGUGAGAUGUUGGGUUAAGUCCCGCAACGAGCGCAACCCUUAAGCUUAGUUGCCAUCAUUAAGUUGGGCACUCUAAGUUGACUGCCGGUGACAAACCGGAGGAAGGUGGGGAUGACGUCAAAUCAUCAUGCCCCUUAUGAUUUGGGCUACACACGUGCUACAAUGGACAAUACAAAGGGCAGCGAAACCGCGAGGUCAAGCAAAUCCCAUAAAGUUGUUCUCAGUUCGGAUUGUAGUCUGCAACUCGACUACAUGAAGCUGGAAUCGCUAGUAAUCGUAGAUCAGCAUGCUACGGUGAAUACGUUCCCGGGUCU